ensembl:lncRNA
UGAAUACCCGUAUGGGGGAGGGGAGGGAAUAGGGGCUUACGGACAGGAAACCAGGAAAGGGAAUAACAUUUGAAAUGUAAGUAAAGAAAUAUAUAAAUAUAUCUAAUAAAGAAAAAAAUGGCAGUGAAGGUUUCUGUUCCUAAUUUUUUAAAUAUGGUUCGACACAGAUCAGAUGAACACCCUUCUUAAACAGGGCUCUGUUGGCAAAGCCUAGAAAUUAACUUUACUUUCCUGUUUGAGAAUGUAAAUGUAAGAGUAGGAGGCAGGCACUCCAUCAUCGACUGCAGAGAAAGCAUACUCCCACCAUCGCCUGUCUGUUACGAUGAGAACACACAGAAACGUGUCACAACACUGAAAUCUCACCUCUUCCCUACUGCUGCAGGCCUGCAUUGCCCGGAAAUACACCACCUGAGGGGAAGGCAGGCGGAGGAGAACAGGCUACCAUGCCCACCAUGAAGCCCAGCACACACUUCCCUCCAGAGGGGAAGAGUGGAAGCCUGUUGUCUAAGGAACUUGUAAUCAGAAAUGCCAGAGACCAUUCAAGCCUCACUUACAGGCACAGUAAUCAACAAAAUACAUGCUUCAGGAGAAAACAGGCUUCUCAUUUAAGUUAGACAAACACUAGUCACGGAGUCCUUGGCCUUUGAGCUCAAUACUCAGGCCAGGCUGGAUUUAUUUAGAUCAAAUCGAUUUGCAUGACCAGUCACAGAGGACCAAUUUGUGUGUGUGUGCGUCUGUGUGUGUAUGUGUCUGUGUUUGUGUGUCUGUGUGUGUCUCUGUGUGUGUGUGUGUGUGUCUCUGUGUGUCUGUGUGUCUGUGUGUGUAGAUAUGUGUGCGAGUGAAUGCAUGUUGCUCUCAGAGACGGGGAAACUCUCAUUGCUUCAGGGAAACCACAAAGAUCAAGCUAUGUGAUUUGGGGAAGCUAUUUAAUCCUCCUGAGUCCUGGUACCCUCACUUGCAAAAUGGAACUAACAAUAGCAGAAUAUACUGACAGCUGUCCUGGGGCCACUAACUCUUUGUUUUUUGUUAACAGUAGUGGACUUUUCUCUGGGGUUCUAUUGAUCGUAUUUUUCAUAGAGGUUGGGCUGCUCCAAGGCCUCUAGAAGGAAACUCCGGAAUUAGCCAAUCACAGUGGCUCCUUCGGCUCGUGUGAGUCAGGAGGGGGAAGUCAGCUAGAGAGGCCUCUUUUUCUUUCCUUCUUUCUCUCUCCGUUCUUUCACAGUGCUGUGGAGCACAUCUGAGGUCUUGUGCAUACAGGCCACUGUUCUGUGGUUGAGACACAUCUCUAGCCUUUAUUUCUUAAGACAGGAGCUGUCUGUCCAUGUAACGUCUAUGCACUGGACUGCCCUGUGGAGCCCAGGCUACCUUGUACUUGAGAAGUUCCUGCCCAUUCCUACCCAGUGCACAGGCUGCUUUUUCAGCUUCUGAAAGGGAUACCUGAGUGACGGGUGUCUUGGCUUGUACCUGUAAUCCCUGUGGUUAGUAGCCUGGGGCAAGAGGGUUAUGAGGUUGUGGCCGGUCUGGGCUACUCGAUGAGCUCUAGUAUGCUGAGUGAGACACUGUCACGAAUAAGCAAACGAACUUCAUGAGAAGAACUCAGGCCCUCAGCUGUGCCCGUGGACACUGAGCUACCCCCUGUGUGGACUUUAGCAGCACCGCAUACUGACGGGAGCUAGCCCAAGAGCAAAUCAGCUGAGGGUGUCAGAGUGGAAAGUCUAAGAGUUCAGCCCCUUAAGGCGCUGCCCAGCUGCUCAGUAACAGACUUGGAUCUUGAGAGAAACCUCUAUUGUUUCUGUUUAGGCAAUGGCUUUUUUUUCCCCCUCACCAGCAGCUCAAAAUAUUCUGACAGGAAAAAAAAAGUUCAUUUCAUGUGGCUAAUUUAAAGACGAGUCGGAAACUGUAACAUAGAAAGUUUAGGGCACACACCAAAUGCUUGCAAACGCUGGUUCUCAGCUGGCUUGUUGAAGGUGGGGCUGUUCAUCCCUCCUCACAGGAGGAAGUGCUUUUACUCUGGCGGAAUGACUCUUCUGUAAGCGGUUUUUGCUUCUUCCCCCCCAAAAAUAAUUAAGGCCAGAAAUCAUCGCUUUCUGCUCUUUACUCAUCUAAGAGUUGUCACAGUGGUCAGCGACUGCCCAGAGAACAAGUUUUAUGUCUGGCUCACUCUGCGUCAAAAAUAUGGGGUCGCUCGAGCAAGUUCAUUGGACAUCCUGAUGGUAAGCAAAUCAGUGUGUGCUCUGAUGGAGACAGACAAAAACCCAACGUAGUCGCUCUCCUCAAGGUGCUUGCUGCUGCAUUGUUCGAAGGAGAAUGCAUGUACAAAGUUAACAGAGACUAGGCACAUGAGAGAGGAUCAGGAGAACGCAACUAGGCCAAUGGUGCAGUUAAGACACCGACUGGUCUUUCCGUCUUCCCACUAAGCAAGCACAAGUCCUACUGCAAGUACUGCAAGCUAAAAGGCUCCGCCUGCCUUUUCAAGCCUCUGCAGUCAAACUACUUGAAAGAAACAGGCAAUCACUCAAAGAUAACUGAGCACCCUCUGCUGUUGAUUGUGCUGCUUGUGCAUGAGUGUGUGAGUGUUUGUAUAGGACAGUGUGUGUGUGCAUGUGUGUGUGUAUGUGUGUGUGUCUGUGUGUGUCUGUGUGUCUCUGUGUGUGUGUAUCUGUGUGUCUCUCUGUGUGUAUGUCUGUGUGUCUCUGUGUGUAUGUCUGUGUGUCUCUCUGUAUGUGUCUGUGUGUCUCUCUGUGUUUGUCUGUGUGUGUCUGUGUGUUUCUGUGUGUGUCUAUGUGUCUCUCUGUGUGUGUCUGUGUGUUUGUGUCUGUUUAUGUGUGUCUAUGUGUCUGUGUGUGUCUGUGUGUUUGUGUCUGUGUAUGUGUGUCUAUGUGUCUCUGUGUGUGUGUCUCUGUGUGUGAGUCUGUGUGUCUCUGUGUGUGUGUCUAUGUGUCUCUGUGUGUGUCUGUGCGUCUCUCUGUGUGUGUCUGUACGUGUGUGUCUGUAUAUGUGUGUCUGUGUCUGUGUGUGUGUGUGUGUGUGCGUGUGUGUGUGUGUG